rnacentral:lncRNA from 1 species
CAGCUGUACUUCUCAUGCCACAAGAAGCAGAGAGUCGGACCAAACCAAACACAGAGGCCGCAAAGCCACACAGCCACCCACUGAGAGGUUCCAAUGGCUGCCCAGGCGUGAGCACCUCAGGUAGGAUGAAGAAGCAGGAGGAGAUAUGGAUCACGGGCAGGACAACCAGGCCAAUCCAAAGUCCAUGUCUGAAUGUCAGUGCCUUUGAAAUGUCUACUGUGCAGAACACAUGAAAAGCACUGCAGGGAGGGUGACGAGACAAAGAGAAAACAGAUCAUGCAAAUAUGAAUCAAGUGAGUACACUAGUGGAAUAUCAAUUAUGACAAAGGAAUAAUGCACACAAGGAGCCCCAAGGCACGAAAGGACCGGGGAAAACCACGUUUAGAGGGAAUCAAUCAUGGGAGCUUCCUGGAGAACAUGCCAG